rnacentral:lncRNA from 1 species
UAUCUAAAAAUUAUGUUUACAACUAAUUUUUGUGGUCCCUUGUGAGACAUACAGGAUUCUCUUGCAUAGUCUGUUUUCUCUAUCACUCUUGUCAGCUUUCUGCUCUCAUCGUCUAUCAAUUGCAUGUGGGUUGUCACUGCCACUUUUCAGCCAUGUCAUCCUACUACAUCACAUCUUACUUCCUUCUGUAUCUGGCUUUUCAUCUAGAGCCUGUCUGUUUCAUACAAUGCAGGUUAUUGUAAGGCAUUGUCUACAACCUUUUGUCUCUUGCCAGGCAAUAAUCCCUUCCUUUCACCCCACCUCGUCUGGUCCUUCUCCCCUAUUGUGACUUUUGUGUGGUUCUUCAGGCUCUUUCUUGCCCCCUUUGAGCCAUUGGUCUCCUUUUCCUGAUAUAAGUUUUUUCUCAAGACAUAUGUUUACCUUCUUUUGCUUGUGGUCAUUAUUGUUUAAACAUUUAGAUUUUAGAUGCCUCUCAUACUGUAUCAUAGGGACCAGUUGAUUUUGUUUCCAGUCCACUCCUUUCUUCCAAAGACUUGGACUGCCUGGAAAGGCCAUUGGAGGUCUUCUCUCAUCUCUAGGUUUCAUCACUGUACAAUUGUUUUGAUCUCAGUUGUCUUUUGUGUCCUGUGUAGGCAGUCUUGCUAAGAUUGUCCCUUUUCUUGGGAACUGCUGUCACCUAUUUUUACUGAAGCAGACCUUUUUCUCUCAGAACUUGUCCCUUUAAACUUUAACAGGUUAGGUUUGUCAACUCACCCAUCUCGCAUAUUUUUAGGGUGAACCUGACACACAUUUUUGCAUCUUCUCCCUCCAGUUCAGCAUGUCACAGCCACUCAUCCCUCUUUUAAUUGCCGGUACUUGGAGGAGAUCUUGCAGGCUAACAUGUGGACUACACUUAAGACAUUUGUCUUCCAUUGCUUAAAUCCUUGGGCAGUUUUCUGUGUCUGGUAUUUCUCUCCUUGUAGUAACCAUUCCCUAGUCUUCCCAGGGGAUCUGGUAUGGAGGAGGCAAGACUGACCAAGUCAAAUGUUACAUGCAGAAUUACACCUUAUGAUCUUUAUGACUGGUAACAUCGGAACCCACUGAGUGCUUGAUGUUGUCUCAUGGGGAAUACUUAUUUCAAAACCUACAUUGAAUGGGGACAAAUGGAAAGUGUUAAUCCCAUGAUGUUCUCCCCAACAUGUAUUCUCUUCCAUUCUUCUAGUGGAGCACAAGAGAACCCUUACUUCCUCAGUCCCAAGCUGUUGGGGAUGUCGGUAUGGAGAGUUUCCUCUGCAAAUGGUGCCUUCCUCCCUGGUAAGAGACUGAUUGGGCCCACCCCUCUUUUGAGAUGUAGAGCUAGGGUGUUGCCUGGAAGUGUAGUAUAGGAUAUCCCAUUACAAUCUCAAGCAGUUUCUGGUGUAUAUGUCCAGCUAGACAGAACUUGGAUUGGCUUCAGGAAGCAGAUGAGGGCUCCUCCACCCAUUGCUAUAGUCAACAUCUCAUAUCAGUAUUUUACCAAGAUGGAACAGCCUAACACCUUAGCCACACUAGAUAUUCUCACAUUCUGCUCACCUUUGCAACAUGUUAUCACUAGCACUAAGUUUAUCUAAAGUAUUUUACUGUAAAUCCAUAUGUGAUGUAAGUGUAACAUAUAAAUGAACAAAUAACAACAAGUUGGGCAAAGAGGAUGUGGUCUCCCACCAGGUGCUGCUCCACUAACCAUAUCCUGGUUUCAAGGAAUUCACAUCACAUUGGCUUUCUCAUUCUUUUGCUGUUUCAUCUUUGUAAUUGAUUAGCUCUGACUCCUCCACUAUUUGUCAGAGUGGGAUUCUAGCUCUUGGUAAUGCAGAGAGGUAAGUAGUUUUUCUGAAGUUAACAUUUUCUUUACCUGAAAUUUUAUUUCAGAUAGAUAUUCACCUCUCUGCACCACCUUCCCACUCUUUCUCCCCACUUCUGGUGAUUUUCUUUGGCUCAAGAAUGAGCCUAUGAUCAUGUGCCAGUGCUCACGGGAUUACCUCGCAUGGAGUUCGUGUCACCUUCUAUUGGUAGAGGGCUACAGGAUUAUAAUGAUUACAUUGUAAGCUGGUACAGUACAGGUAGAUGUGUAGGGAUGGGAGUUGGUUCAAGGCUUGUGCCAUGCGCAGGGAAUUUCAUGGCAGUUUUAUGCAUGGUAAUAGCUCUUACUGGUGCAGAGAGGUAGGUAUCUAUGUGAAAUACAUUUUUAGGUAAGGAAAAUGUUAACUUUUUUAAUGUGUCAUUUGAUAACAUUAGCAAGAUGUGACAUUUUAACAGUGUUAACAUGUUAUAUCACCAGAUAAUAUUGUCAAGUUGUAACUUCUUAAUAUUGUAGAUAUGCUUUAAUAUUUGAAAAUAUUGAGAGGUUGUAAUACUUUAUUGCGUUAAUUAAGCAUGAUGUUUAUUUUAACAUUUUUGACACUAAAGGUAGAAAUAGCACACAAAGAUUUAACUGUGUAACUUUGUUUUCUUGCAAAAAACAAAACUAAAUGUGUAUUUGUAGGAGGAAUCCAUGUUUAUUAGCUCAUAGAAUUUUCAUGGCAUUUUUUUUGGAAUUUGUCACUAGUAUGUUUCACAAAUAGUGACUAUGUAUUGUUAUGUAUUCUGUAAAUAUGUGGUGUUACUCCAAUAUAACUACAGUGUACACAAAUAUCAAUAUAUUUUGGUGAAAUUGUGGAUGGAACUUUCUUAGGUAUAGAACCAUGUCCAUUCUACAAGCUGGAUUACAUUUCUUACAGUAGCAUAAAAAACUAAUUUGUUUUUAAUGAAUUAACUCUUGUUACCUCCUAAAUAGUUUUAUUCUGUCAGUUAUUACAUCAAUUUGUGUUUUGGAUUAAUCAUAUUCCAUUCUUGUACAUAAGUUUCAUAUUGUUCAACUACAGUAUUAAAAAAGUAAACACAGUACACUCAUAAACUGUUACUUUUGUUUAGCUCUUUGUUAAAAACACAACAAUGUAUACAGAUAAAUUGUUAAUUGCAAUCCAUAUUGUUAAACAUUUUUAAAUCCAAUACUGUUUGACAGUAGUAGUAAAAACAAACUGCAGAUAGAUUUCAAUUAUAGCUACUUUGUUCAGUACAUUUGUUAAACUAAUGGCAUCAGCAAAAGUGAUAAAACAAAACAUUAUUUUUGCCACUCUCAGAAAACAAAUCUAACACUAUGUAGCUAUAUAUUCUUUACAAAUAAACAUUGUAAACAACUCCAUUACAAACUUUAUAUCUCAAACUUUCAUACUCAGCUAUAAUACAUUUCAUGUUGUUACAAUACAAGCAUAACAAAUCAGACAUUAUAUACAAAUAUGAUACAAUCUUAUCAAAUCAAGUAUUGUAUACAGGUAUGACAACUUUAUGCCAGAUUCAACUUCAUACCCAGCUGAUGUACAUUCCACCCAGCUACAUUACAAGCUUAACAAGUUAAAGAUUAUAAUCAGCUGUGAUACUGCCUUUAUAUUUUAGACUUAUUUGUCAAAUAUAGUACAUUCCACAUAACUACAAUACAGUUUUAAUGAAUAAAACAUUGCCCACAGCUAUGAUACAACCUGUUACAACAUCAAACUAGUGUAUUUAUGUGUUUUACACUCACCAAAAGAAACCUGUCAUUCCAUAGGUUUCUUUUUGGUGAGUAUAAAACACGUAAAUACACCAGUUUGAUUUUCGAUACCUCACUAGUAUGAAGACUUGGUUUGGUCUGAUAUUUCAUUGGUGGUAGUGUCUAGGGUCACUGAUGAGGAGUGGAAUUCUUCGAAACUAGUCUGGCUCAUAGACACACACACCCCAAUGAAAGAAUAGACCAUUCCAAGCAACAACUCUACUUAUUCAAUUCUGUUACAACAUGUUAGACUUCAUACCCAGAUACAGAACAUUUCCUAUAUCGACAAUGCAAUAUUAACAAAUACACACAGAUCUUAUACAAGUUUAAUAUAUCAGGCUUCAUACUUAACUCUAGUACAUUACACACAGCUAGAAUAUGACUGUAACAAAUCAAACUUUAUACCUGCAUAUGGAACUAUUUUUAUUAUUAUACUUCAUACUCGGCUUUAGUACAUUCCACGUACCAUGAAUACGAUCUUAAUAAAUUCUACAGUAUAUACAGGUAUGAGAAAACUUUAUAUGUCUGUCUUCAUACUCAGCUAUAGUACAUUCCACAUACCAUGAAUAUGAUCUUAAUAAAUUACACAGUAUAUACAGGUAUGAGAAAACUUAAUAUGUCUGUCUUGAUACUCAGUUAUAGUACAUUCCACAUACCAUGAAUAUGAUCUUAAUAAAUUCCACAGUAUAUACAGGUAUGACAAAACUUUAUAUGUCUGUCUUGAUACUCAGUUAUAGUACAUUCCACGUAUCAUGAAUAUGAUCUUAAUAAAUUCUACAGUAUAUACAGGUAUGAGAAAACUUUAUGUCUGUCUUCAUACUCAGCUAUAGUACAUUCCACGUACCAUGAAUACAAUCUUAAUAAAUUACACAGUAUAUACAGGUAUGACAAAACUUUAUAUGUCUGUCUUCAUACUCAGCUAUAGUAUAUUCCACGUAACAUGAAUACAAUCUUAAUAAAUUACACAGUAUAUACAGGUAUGAGAAAACUUUAUAUAUCUGUCUUGAUACUCAGCUAUAGUAUAUUCCAUGUAUCAUGAAUACAAUCUUAAUAAAUUCCACAGUACAUACAGGUAUGACAAAACUUUAUGUGUCUGUCUUCAUACUCAGCUAUAGUAUGUUCCACAUACCAUGAAUAUGAUCUUAAUAAAUUACACAGUAUAUACAGGUAUGACAAAACUUUAUAUGUCUGUCUUCAUACUCAGCUAUAGUAUAUUCCACAUACAGUGAAUACAAUCUUAAUAAAUUGCACAGUAUAUACAGGUAUGAGAAAACUUUAUAUGUCUGUCUUCAUACUCAGCUAUAGUAUAUUCCAUAAUUCUACAUUACAAUUUAUCAAAUAAAUCAUUCCACAUCACUUCAAAAUAAUCUUCAAAAAUCACAAUGUGAAUACAGCUAUGAUACAAACCUUAUAUAUCAGACUUCAUACCUAACUACUGUAUGUUCCACAUAGCUUUAUUACAAUAUUAACAAAUCAAACAUUACAACUCGCUGUGAUAGAACCUUUAUACAUCAGAUUUUAUGCCCAGUUGAAGAACAUGGCAUAUAAUUGAAAUACAAUCUUAAGAAAUCCUACAUUUCACACAGUUGUGAUACAACUUUUAUAUGUCAGAUUUAAUAGCCAGCUAUUCACAUUCCACAUAGCUAAAACACAUACUUAACAAGUCAAACAUUAUACACAGGUAUAAGCCAACAUUAUAUGUUAGACUUCAUACCCAGCUACAGUACAUUCUGUAUAGCUAAUAAUGCACGUUUAACAGAUUAAACAUACACAACUAUAGUACAACCUUUAUACAGCAGAUUUCAUAUGAGACUACAGUACAUUUCACACAGCUGCAAUACAACGUUUGUACUUCAGACUUUAUACCCAGCUACAGUAUAUUUCAAAUAGUUCUAAUACAAUCUCAACAAAUAUAAUACACGGCUAGAGUACUAUCUUUUCCAAAAUAUUUUAUAAAAGCUCUAGGACAUUUCACAUAACUACAAUACAAGCUUAAUAAAUCAAACAUUAUACGCAGGUAUGGUAAAUCCUUUAUAUAACAGACUUCAUAAGCAGCUACAGUACAUUCAUUUCACAUAGCUACAAUACAAUUUUAACAAAUCCUAUGUUGCACAUAGCAAUGAUACAACCUUUAUACCCUGCAACAGUACAUUCCACAUAGCUACAUUACAAUUUUAACAAAUCCUGUAUUGCACAUAGCUAUGAUACAACCUUUAUAACUUGCAACAGUACACGCAACAAAGCUACAUUACAAUUUAGCAAAUCAAUAAUUCCAUACUGCUACAAUACAUUCUUCAAACAUCACAAUGUACUCAUACCUAUGAUACAAACCUUAUGUUUUGGACUACAUACCCGGCUACAGCACAUUCUACAUAGCUACAGCUUUAACAAAUCCUACAUUAUACAUAUAACCCAACAUUUAUAUGUCAGACUUGUGCAUACCCAGCUGCAGUACAUUCCACAUAGCUACAUUACAAGUUUAUCAAAUUAAACAUUCUAGAUAAUAGAAAAGUAAAGAAAAUUAUCAAAAAAGGAA